UACAGAGGGUGCGAGCGUUAAUCGGAAUUACUGGGCGUAAAGCGCACGUAGGCGGCUUGGUAUGUCGGGUGUGAAAUCCCCGGGCUCAACCUGGGAACUGCAUCCGAAACUGCCUUGCUCGAGUAUGGGAGAGGGAAGUGGAAUUUCCGGUGUAGCGGUGAAAUGCGUAGAUAUCGGAAGGAACAUCAGUGGCGAAGGCGACUUCCUGGACCAAUACUGACGCUCAGGUGCGAAAGCGUGGGGAGCAAACAGGAUUAGAAACCCCCGUAGUCC
rnacentral:rRNA from 1 species